rnacentral:piRNA from 1 species
UGAGAUAAAAUGAUCUUGCCUAACUUCUC